rfam:Pleurotus ostreatus PC15 unplaced genomic scaffold scaffold_04, whole genome shotgun sequence.
ACAUCGAUGGUGAAACGGUAUCAUGCUUGCCUUCCAAGAGGAGCAACUCUUAGCAAGCGGCACGGGUUCGACUCCCGUUCGAUGUA